rnacentral:lncRNA from 1 species
CAUAUCUUACAUACAUUGGAGUAUAACUUCCCAUUCUUGUGGUUGUACAUGAUGUGGAGUUAUAAUGGUCAUAUUUGUUUAUGAAUAUAGGAAAUUUAUGUCCAAUUCAUUUUACUGUCUUUUCCAUUCCCACCCCUCUUCCCCCAUUCCCUGCUGUCCAUUUGGUGAACCUCCAAUCCUCCCUAUUGUGAGUCAGCAUUCACAUUAUCAGAGAGAACCAUUCAGCCUUUAGUUUUGGGGGAUUGGUUUAUUUCACAUAGCAUGAUAGUCUCUAGUUCCAACCAUUUACUGGCAAAUGCCAUAAUUUCAUACUUUUUUAUGGCUGAGUAAUAUUCCAUUUUGUAUAUGUACCAUAUUUUCUUUAUUCAUUCAUCUGUUGAAGGGCACCUAGGUUGAGUUCAUAGCUGCUGUGUCACUAUAGUAUGCUGAUUUUAAUUGGAGUGGGAUAACUGGGUCAAAUUGUCAAAGGAAAUGAACAGAUAUUGCACAGAAGAAGAAAUAUGAGUGGUCAACAAAUAUGUGAAAAAAAAAAGUUCAACAUCACUAGCAAUUAGAAAAAUACAAAUUAAUAAAACACUGAGAUUUCAUCUCACUCCAAUCAGAAUGGCAAUUAUCAAGAAUACAAGUAACAAUGUUGGCAAAGAUGCGGGGUGAGGGGAAAGGCACAUUCAUAAUUUGCUGGUGGGACUGCAAAUUGAUGCAACUACUCUGGAAAGCCGUACAGAGAUUCCUCAGAAAACUUGGAAUGGAACCACCAUUUGACCCAAAUUAUGUCAUUAUGGUUGAAUUUGAGCAUAGUUUUCUAAAGAAAAUGAAAACCUAUGUUGGCAAGGAGACUGAGAGCAGUUCUAUAGGCAGGAACCUCUUUCAAGUAAGUGCAUGGUUUCAAAGAUGUUUGUUUUCACUCCUUUUCAGGGAAAAUAACUAGAAUUGACAAGACUCUUAACUUGAUAUUCUCAAGUUCUUAGUUGGAAGGUGUAAAUCUGAAAGCUGAAUAAUAAUGGACUGUUACAAAAACAACAACAAGGAAAUAUCCUGUUAAAAGCACAAAGGAAAACAAAACAGACUGAAAUCAGCCAUUUGAUAGGUUUUGUCAUUGAAACUCAGAUUGUAGUCUUCUGUCAUUCUUUUCCAUCCUCCUUGGUACAUCGACUUGGUCCUCAUGGGUCCCUGUCUCAGUCGCC